rnacentral:rRNA from 1 species
GAUGAACGCUGGCGGCGUGCCUAAUACAUGCAAGUCGAGCGAACAGACAAGGAGCUUGCUCCUUUGACGUUAGCGGCGGACGGGUGAGUAACACGUGGGUAACCUACCUAUAAGACUGGGAUAACUUCGGGAAACCGGAGCUAAUACCGGAUAAUAUUUCGAACCGCAUGGUUCGAUAGUGAAAGAUGGUUUUGCUAUCACUUAUAGAUGGACCCGCGCCGUAUUAGCUAGUUGGUAAGGUAACGGCUUACCAAGGCGACGAUACGUAGCCGACCUGAGAGGGUGAUCGGCCACACUGGAACUGAGACACGGUCCAGACUCCUACGGGAGGCAGCAGUAGGGAAUCUUCCGCAAUGGGCGAAAGCCUGACGGAGCAACGCCGCGUGAGUGAUGAAGGUCUUCGGAUCGUAAAACUCUGUUAUUAGGGAAGAACAUACGUGUAAGUAACUAUGCACGUCUUGACGGUACCUAAUCAGAAAGCCACGGCUAACUACGUGCCAGCAGCCGCGGUAAUACGUAGGUGGCAAGCGUUAUCCGGAAUAUUGGGCGUAAGCGCGCGUAGCGGUUUUUUAAGUCUGAUGUGAAAGCCCACGGCUCAACCGUGGAGGGUCAUUGGAAACUGUAAAACUUGAGUGCAGAAGAGGAAAGUGGAAUUCCAUGUGUAGCGGUGAAAUGCGCAGAGAUAUGGAGGAACACCAGUGGCGAAGGCGACUUUCUGGUCUGUAACUGACGCUGAUGUGCGAAAGCGUGGGGAUCAAACAGGAUUAGAUACCCUGGUAGUCCACGCCGUAAACGAUGAGUGCUAAGUGUUAGGGGGUUUCCGCCCCUUAGUGCUGCAGCUAACGCAUUAAGCACUCCGCCUGGGGAGUACGACCGCAAGGUUGAAACUCAAAGGAAUUGACGGGGACCCGCACAAGCGGUGGAGCAUGUGGUUUAAUUCGAAGCAACGCGAAGAACCUUACCAAAUCUUGACAUCCUUUGACAACUCUAGAGAUAGAGCCUUCCCCUUCGGGGGACAAAGUGACAGGUGGUGCAUGGUUGUCGUCAGCUCGUGUCGUGAGAUGUUGGGUUAAGUCCCGCAACGAGCGCAACCCUUAAGCUUAGUUGCCAUCAUUAAGUUGGGCACUCUAAGUUGACUGCCGGUGACAAACCGGAGGAAGGUGGGGAUGACGUCAAAUCAUCAUGCCCCUUAUGAUUUGGGCUACACACGUGCUACAAUGGACAAUACAAAGGGCAGCGAAACCGCGAGGUCAAGCAAAUCCCAUAAAGUUGUUCUCAGUUCGGAUUGUAGUCUGCAACUCGACUACAUGAAGCUGGAAUCGCUAGUAAUCGUAGAUCAGCAUGCUACGGUGAAUACGUUCCCGGGUCU